ACAUCGAUGAUGACGCCAAAGAUGCAUUCCUUGAAAAGUGGAACAAAAUGAGAACUCAUACCGUCGUUGUUCUCAUCAGUAACUGAGGUCC
rfam:Myotis davidii contig76239, whole genome shotgun sequence.